ACGCUUUGGCAACAAUAAGGUUUAAACGAUGACUGGAGUAAUGAACAUGCAACGCCUUCGGGUUUUUCUCUAAUAUUCUCCCAGAAAUACCUUUUACCUGGCUGGACACAGCACUAGCACCGUCAUAUCCCUGGCCUCGACAAUUUUGAAGGGAAGCCCGACAUCUUGAAGUGUACUUUGACUAAUGAACGGAAUCAAAUCCAAAGGCGAAACAGUUCGGUAUACAAAUGAAAAUGUUCUUGAAUCAUGUAAAACUUCAAAUUUAUUCAAGAAUGUAUUAAAUUAUCCAGAAAGUAUAAGCUUGGAGUUAUCAUUAAAAAGUGCCUUGCACCAGAUAUUUUCAAUAAUUAGCUAUCGAGACCAUCCUCAGUUGU